CAUGACUGGUAUACCGACCCUAUCUUACAGGCAGGACGCUGCCCCCACUAGCUUGUGUUCCACAAUUUUAAGAGUUUAAUUCUCAGGGUCUACAAAUGCUAAAGUAUGCUCUGUAAUGUAACAUUUUAUGACAUAAGGUGGCCAUGCUAUGUAUUACCAAUUAAUGUUAUUACAGAGUCAA